CAUCCAGCGAACUUGGCAGAGGAUGGCCUUGGUGCCUUCGGGAACGCUGAGACAGGUGCUGCAUGGCUGUCGUCAGCUCGUGUUGUGAAAUGUUGGGUUAAGUCCCGCAACGAGCGCAACCCUUAUCCUUUGUUGCCAGCGAUUCGGUCGGGAACUCAAAGGAGACUGCCGGUGAUAAACCGGAGGAAGGUGGGGAUGACGUCAAGUCAUCAUGGCCCUUACGAGUAGGGCUACACACGUGCUACAAUGGCGCAUACAAAGAGAAGCGACCUCGCGAGAGCAAGCGGACCUCAUAAAGUGCGUCGUAGUCCGGAUCGGAGUCUGCAACUCGACUCCGUGAAGUCGGAAUCGCUAGUAAUCGUGGAUCAGAAUGCCACGGUGAAUACGUUCCCGGGCCUUGUACACACCGCCCGUCACACCAUGGGAGUGGGUUGCAAAAGAAGUAGGUAGCUUAACCUUCGGGAGGGCGCUUACCACUUUGUGAUUCAUGACUGGGGUGAAGUCGUAACAAGGUAGGCGUAGCGAG
rnacentral:rRNA from 1 species